UAAGAGAUGAGUUUUGGAUAGAAGUUGACAUGGCGGUCUGAUCCAGACGGAGAAGAAAAAGAAAGAGGACACCGCCGAUUAGUAAAAAAGUCUAUGUCUAUGACUUGCUCAGAAUCGCUGCAGACACGCGCGAGGAGAAAGAACAAGGUUGCCUAGGUCACCGCCACGCUCUGUAUACACGUAAUCCCCUCCGGAAAUGACUUCAGUACAACAUGCGAACGCUGAUAUCCGCGUUCGGCGCCCAAGCGCAGUAGUUUUGUUUACAAACGGCAGGACACAUGCGUCCCGACAUAUACACUAAGUCUGGAAACCAGAAGAGAUUUUCAUUGAACAGUUCAUAUCAUUUUAGGAUUAAGAAGUAUUACCUGCUACAUUCUCUGCUAAUUCUCUACAGAAGAUGAAUCCUGAUCUUCACCCGCGUGGUUAGAUAUCCAGCACUAUUGAUGUAUAAUUUAUGUCAUAUCAUGUAUUAACAGUAAUCUGCCUUAAA